UGGGGAAUUUUGGACAAUGGGGGAAACCCUGAUCCAGCCAUCCCGCGUGUGCGAUGAAGGCCUUCGGGUUGUAAAGCACUUUUUGGCAGGAAAGAAACGUCGCGGGUUAAUACCCCGCGAAACUGACGGUACCUGCAGAAUAAGCACCGGCUAACUACGUGCCAGCAGCCGCGGUAAUACGUAGGGUGCAAGCGUUAAUCGGAAUUACUGGGCGUAAAGCGUGCGCAGGCGGUUCGGAAAGAAAGAUGUGAAAUCCCAGAGCUUAACUUUGGAACUGCAUUUUUAACUACCGGGCUAGAGUGUGUCAGAGGGAGGUGGAAUUCCGCGUGUAGCAGUGAAAUGCGUAGAUAUGCGGAGGAACACCGAUGGCGAAGGCAGCCUCCUGGGAUAACACUGACGCUCAUGCACGAAAGCGUGGGGAGCAAACAGGAUUAGAUACCCUGGUAGUCCACGCCCUAAACGAUGUCAACUAGCUGUUGGGGCCUUCGGGCCUUGGUAGCGCAGCUAACGCGUGAAGUUGACCGCCUGGGGAGUACGGUCGCAAGAUUAAAAACUUAAAUGAAUUGACGGGGGUCAUAGCUGUUU
rnacentral:rRNA from 1 species